rnacentral:tRNA from 1 species
GGCCUCGUAGCUCAGUCGGAUAGAGCCUCCCCCGAGCUGGCGUGGGUUCAACUCCCACCAGGGCCA